rnacentral:rRNA from 1 species
CAGUCGCCACGGGAAUACGUAGGUGGCAAGCGUUGUCCGGAACUAUUGGGCGUAAAGGGCUCGCAGGCGGUUUCUUAAGUCUGAUGUGAAAGCCCCCGGCUCAACCGGGGAGGGUCAUUGGAAACUGGGAAACUUGAGUGCAGAAGAGGAGAGUGGAAUUCCACGUGUAGCGGUGAAAUGCGUAGAGAUGUGGAGGAACACCAGUGGCGAAGGCGACUCUCUGGUCUGUAACUGACGCUGAGGAGCGAAAGCGUGGGGAGCGAACAGGAUUAGAUACCCCGGUAGUCCCUGUCUCUUAUAC